rnacentral:rRNA from 1 species
UACGUAGGGGGCUAGCGUUGUCCGGAUUUAUUGGGCGUAAAGAGCGUGUAGGCGGCCAGGUAGGUCUGGUGUGAAAACUCGAGGCUUAACCUCGAGAUGUCAUCGGAAACCAUCUGGCUAGAGUCCGGAAGAGGAGAGUGGAAUUCCUGGUGUAGCGGUGAAAUGCGCAGAUAUCAGGAAGAACACCCGUGGCGAAGGCGGCUCUCUGGGACGGAACUGACGCUGAGACGCGAAAGCGUGGGGAGCGAACAGG